rfam:Bdellovibrionales bacterium RBG_16_40_8 RBG_16_scaffold_24179, whole genome shotgun sequence.
AAAUCGGCCUCACUAGAGGCCAUAAUAUAAUACGUUCCAAAUUUAUU